AUGCGGAUAUCCGGCGGGCAGGCGCUGGGGGAGGAAGCGGUCAGCGUGGUGCGGCAGGCGGUGAGCCUGGCGGAGCAGCGGGGGCACAGGCAGGUAACCCCGCUCCACAUGGUGAGCGCCAUGCUCUCGGCGUCCCCGGCACCGGCAUGCAUCCUACGCGCCGCCUGCCUCAGCUCCCAGUCCCACCCGCUGCAGCACAAGACGCUCGACCUCUGCCUAGACCUCGCGCUCAACCAGCUCGCCGUGGCCGUGAGCCGCCGCGGUGGCGACCACGUCGAACCUGCGCGGUCGAACGCGUUCACGGCCGGGCUGAAGCGGGCCCAGGCGCACGGUCGCCGGGGCCCCGUGGGCGGCGACAAGGUCGAGCUCGAGCAGCUCGUCCUCUCCAUCCUCGACGACCCUAGCGUCGACCGCGUCAUGCGCGCGGCCGGCUUCUCGAGCUCUCAGGUCAGGGCCAGCGUCGUUUCAUUGGAGCAAUCAGCGAGCUUUCCUGAUCCGUUUCCCGAGAAGAUCGGGGCUGGAGGACAACCAUCCCUCCAAACCGCCCCGGAGCUUCACCUGCCAGUCGUGGCCGACGACGUCCCACACGGAAGUGAGUGUCAAGCUAGCAAUGUAAAAUCAGGAGCAAGGUGGCCGGCCUUCUUUGGCUGCACCGAGGUAAUCCCCACGACGGUGAGCCUUCCUCCGUGGCUCCGCUACUACAAGGAUACAACUUGCAUCAGAUCAACAUACUGCAACACCAAUCUUCAAGCAAACGGUGCUUCCCGCCGUCCGAAGUUCACGGAGCUCACCGCAGACAAUCUCAAGAUCCUGUGCGACGCGCUUGAACUGCGCGUUCCGUGGCAUGGGAACAUCGUUCCCAGCAUAGCAAGCACGGUGCUCCGGUGCCGAUCCGGCGUGACAAGGAGGAGGGUGGGGGACAAGCCGUUCAAUUCAUUGUCGUCGUCAACAACGACCUGGUUGCUCUUCCAUGGAAGGGACGGUGUCGUCAAGACAGCGAUUGCUCGGGAGCUUGCGAGGCUCGUCUUUGGAUCCUACACCGACUUCACUGCCCUGCAGGGUUACCCCGACAUUGCCGCACAAACCGGCAAACUCGCCCUCAAGAGGCAUAGAUCACCGGAAAACAAUGGCGAUGGCAAUGGUGGGGACGUUGGAGCGAGGCUGUUCAAAGCGAUCGCAGAGAACCCUCACCGCGUUAUAUUGAUCGAUGGUGUCGACCAACUGGGUCGCGAUUUGGAAACACGCAUCAAGAACGCGGUUGCGGGAGGAACACUAAUGGGAGGAUGCAACGGCGACGUGGUCGAUUUGGAGGAUGCCAUCAUAGUGUUGAGCUCUAAUGUGUUGGACUCGAGGUCUAUGGUUUCCGCUUCCUCCCCACGGGUGAAGCGACGGUUUACCAGGCAGAACUGCGAGGAUGGUGACGCCGCGGAGAUGGAAAUGAGAUCUCGUCGUCAUCUUAGCUGGGACUUGAACGUUUGUGCAGUUGAUGAGGACGAGGAGGAAGGCAGUUUUGACGGGAUCAUGAAUGUCGUGGAUGGUGUUUUCCUUUUCAAUUAG
rnacentral:rRNA from 1 species